UACAGAGGGUGCGAGCGUUAAUCGGAAUUACUGGGCGUAAAGCGUGCGCAGACGGUCACGUAAGUCGGGUGUGAAAGCCCCGGGCUCAACCUGGGAAUUGCAUUCGAGACUGCGUGGCUAGGGUGCGGAAGAGGGAAGCGGAAUUUCCGGUGUAGCGGUGAAAUGCGUAGAUAUCGGAAGGAACACCAGUGGCGAAAGCGGCUCCUGGUCCAGCACCGACGUUCAGGCACGAAGCGUGGGGAGCAAACAGG
rnacentral:rRNA from 1 species